AUGAACGCUGGCGGCGUGCCUAAUACAUGCAAGUCGCACGCAUAGCGAAAGGUGCUUGCACCUUUCAAGUGAGUGGCGAACGGGUGAGUAACACGUGGACAACCUGCCUCAAGGCUGGGGAUAACAUUUGGAAACAGAUGCUAAUACCGAAUAAAACUUAGUGUCGCAUGACACAAAGUUAAAAGGCGCUUCGGCGUCACCUAGAGAUGGAUCCGCGGUGCAUUAGUUAGUUGGUGGGGUAAAGGCCUACCAAGACAAUGAUGCAUAGCCGAGUUGAGAGACUGAUCGGCCACAUUGGGACUGAGACACGGCCCAAACUCCUACGGGAGGCUGCAGUAGGGAAUCUUCCACAAUGGGCGAAAGCCUGAUGGAGCAGCGCCGCGUGUGUGAUGAAGGCUUUCGGGUCGUAAAGCACUGUUGUAUGGGAAGAACAGCUAGAAUAGGAAAUGAUUUUAGUUUGACGGUACCAUACCAGAAAGGGACGGCUAAAUACGUG
rnacentral:rRNA from 1 species